GGGGAAUUUUCCGCAAUGGGCGAAAGCCUGACGGAGCAAUACCGCGUGAGGGAGGAAGGCUCUUGGGUUGUAAACCUCUUUUCUCAGGGAAUAAGAACUGAAGGUACCUGAGGAAUCAGCAUCGGCUAACUCCGUGCCAGCAGCCGCGGUAAUGCGGAGGAUGCAAGCGUUAUCCGGAAUGAUUGGGCGUAAAGCGUCCGCAGGUGGUUUAUCAAGUCUGCUGUCAAAGAGUUUGGCUCAACCAAAUAAAGGCAGUGGAAACUGACAGACUGGAGUGCGGUAAGGGCAGAGGGAAUUCCUGGUGUAGCGGUGAAAUGCGUAGAGAUCAGGAAGAACACCGGUGGCGAAAGCGCUCUGCUGGGCCGUAACUGACACUGAGGGACGAAAGCUANGGGAGCGAAUGGGAUUAGAUACCCCAUAGUC
rnacentral:rRNA from 1 species